UACGGAAGGCAGCAGUGGGGAAUAUUGCACAAUGGGCGAAAGCCUGAUGCAGCUAUGCCGCGUGUAUGAAGAAGGCCUUAGGGUUGUAAAGUACUUUCAUCGGGGAGGAAAAAACAAAACUAAUAAUUUUAUUUCUUGACGUUACCCGAAAAAGAAGCACCGGCUAACUCCGUGCCAGCAGCCGCGGUAAUACGGAGGGUGCUAGCGUUAAUCAGAAUUACUGGGCGUAAAGAGCACGUAGGUGGUUUUUUUAAAGUCAGAUGUGAAAUCCCUGGGCUUAACCUAGGAACUGCAUUUUGAAACUGAAAUACUAGAGUAUCGUAGAGGGAGGUAGAAUUCUAGGUGUAGCGGUGAAAUGCGUAGAUAUCUGGAGGAAUACCUGUGGCGAAAGCGGCCUCCUAAACGAAUACUGACACUGAGGUGCGAAAAGCGUGGGGAGCAAAACAGGGAUUAGAUACC
rnacentral:rRNA from 1 species